GGUGAUGUGAUGUCCUAAUCUUCCUCCCACUCGCUAGACCUAAACAAAUUCUUCCUUUUUCUUGGAGGAGAAGAAGAAUACGAAAUCCAUUAUCGGAGAAGUCUGACUAUGAUCAUUCAGAUCAAAGGUCCUAUUAUCUCAGGGGUAAUGCAAUAUAGAUGGAAACAUUAAUUAUACAAACUCAUCAAAGUGAGUUAGCAAAAAUCUUACACUUUUUUUCUUCCAAUUAUAACUUUUGUUAGUCAAUGUGGAAGCUUUUGUUUUCCAUUGUUAACGUGAUGAUAUAAAUGGGGGGUUCUGUAAUACAAGUAGGAAAUGUGAUGUGUUUAAUGUAAAUCGAUUCGUUACUUCUAAAUUUCUGUACUAAAGGAUGCAGCUAAUUCUGUGUGCAUAUUAGUAGACAUUGAUAGUACUUUACCAGACAAUGACUUCAUAUAUCAACCAGGGCCUGGAUCAGUCAUCUGAAGGAUAUAUUGCUGGUUGUUCUAACGAUUCUAAGAUGCAUUUGAUCCCUAAGGAUAUGUAGCAAAACAUAUAUAAAGACUCCUCUCUGAAGAUUGCCUACUUUGUUGUCUAUCCAUUUGCUUUUACUAAACGAUGUAGUGCUCAUCGAGAUAUGACUUUGAAAGACAUUAAUCAACAGAUACGUACCACGCAAUCAAAGUCAAGGCAAAAUAGUAGAUCCUUAUAUUUUGAACAUCCAAAUCAGCAUUCUCUAGCAAGCUUGGCGUUUGGAAGACCACAAUACAGACUGAAGGAGGAAAGCAUUAACGUUGUGAGGACCAAAGGUUAGCAGAAGAGACGCGGACAGAGCAUAACAGAGAUGGAGAGAGCUGAUUGUUCUAUUUCGAUUUGGGGAUGUAAAGCAUUGUCCCACUUUUUACUCUAAAGGAUCGGUUACUUCUUAUUUGACUUGUGAUGUUGUGGUGAUGAAUCUUGCUGAUAUAGCAUUCAUAUAUUUUACUUUUCUUUUCUUUUUUCGUUUUCCAUCUACUUUUUG